UUUUUUAAUCACUUUUUUGCAAAAAUAAAAUAUUUACAUUGGCAAAAGGUGGCCGCACAGGACAUAGUCCCAAUUGAUUACAGCUACCAUUUAACUAUACAUACAUACAUAACAUGCCAUUAAUUAAAUACAACACUACAUUGUCAAUACUAUAUAAUUUCAGCUAAGUUAAAAGUCACUACUAUCUACCAAUCUCAAAGAGUAGAGUUCCUUUAAUGCAGUUUUAAAAGUACUUAUUCUUGCAAUAGUUUUUAAAGUAGGAGGUAGACUGUUCCAUGAGCGUAUAGCUCUAGGAAAAUAUGAAUAACCAAAAUAGUUUGUUCUAUACCUAAAUUCAGAAAAAUUAUCUUGAUGAGAAUUUCUUAAAUUAUAACCAGAUUGAGGCUUCAUCUGAACAUUCUCGGCAUAUUCCUCAAAGUCAAGACUAUAUAACCCAUUCUUGAGUUUAAAGAGAAAUAUUAAGUCCUUCAUUUGCCGACGAGACUCAAGUGGAAGGAGAUCGAGCAUAAUCAUUCUACUUUUGUAAUCAGUGUCCUUUGGAUAGUUUAGUAUAAAUUUGGUGGCUCUACGUUGGACAUUUUCAAUUAGUGCAAUGUAUUUUUUUUUCAUAGGGAGACCAUAAUUCACUUCCAUACUCUAAUAGUGGGCGAACUAAUGUACAGUAAAGUAACCUUCUGGUCUUUAAGUCCUUUAGAUCCACACAUGUUCUCUUCACUAGUCCAAGUGUCCUAUUUGCCUUUGAAGUUAUUUCGGAAAUAUGAGUAGCCCACUUUAGAUCACUGGUGACGUUGAUUCCAAGAUCUCGGAUGUAGGUUACUCUUUCUAGCCAGUUGUUAUCAAUGGUAUAAUCAGUUUCCAACCUGGGAGUUUUCUUUCUCGUAAUUCGCAUUGUUUUACAUUUUGUAACAUUGAAAUCCAUG